UACAGAGGGGGCAAGCGUUGUUCGGAAUUACUGGGCGUAAAGGGCGCGUAGGCGGCCUGUUAAGUCGAACGUGAAAUCCCCGGGCUCAACCCGGGAACUGCGUCCGAUACUGGCAGGCUUGAAUCCGGGAGAGGGAUGCGGAAUUCCAGGUGUAGCGGUGAAAUGCGUAGAUAUCGGGAGGAAUACCUAUGGCGAAAGCAGGCUACUGGACCGUCACUGACUCUGAUCUGCGAAAGCUAGGGGAGCAAACAGG
rnacentral:rRNA from 1 species